rnacentral:rRNA from 1 species
GUAUCGGAACGUGCCCMGKAGCGGGGGAUAACUACGCGAAAGCGUAGCUAAUACCGCAUACGCCCUACGGGGGAAAGCAGGGGAUCGUAAGACCUUGCACUAUUGGAGCGGCCGAUAUCGGAUUAGCUAGUUGGUGGGGUAACGGCUCACCAAGGCGACGAUCCGUAGCUGGUUUGAGAGGACGACCAGCCACACUGGGACUGAGACACGGCCCAGACUCCUACGGGAGGCAGCAGUGGGGAAUUUUGGACAAUGGGGGAAACCCUGAUCCAGCCAUCCCGCGUGUGCGAUGAAGGCCUUCGGGUUGUAAAGCACUUUUGGCAGGAAAGAAACGUCAUGGGUUAAUACCCCGUGAAACUGACGGUACCUGCAGAAUAAGCACCGGCUAACUACGUGCCAGCAGCCGCGGUAAUACGUAGGGUGCAAGCGUUAAUCGGAAUUACUGGGCGUAAAGCGUGCGCAGGCGGUUCGGAAGAAAGAUGUGAAAUCCCAGAGCUUAACUUUGGAACUGCAUUAACUACCGGCUAGAGUGUGUCAGAGGGAGGUGGGAAUUCCGCGUGUAGCAGUGAAAUGCGUAGAUAUGCGAGGA